UCCUGACGAGACGCCUGUUGGUACCGGUGAGGGAGGUGGGCAGGAGAGGAAGGAGAAAGGGGGAGACAAGUCAAAGUAGAAGAGGCAGAAAAAGAGGAGGUUUCGGAGGUUUGCCUCCUUCUUCUGUUGUUUGUCUCGCCCCAAGUCCACCAAAGCUCAGGGUGAGCAGGUUGAGAAGAGUGAGGAGGACCAGGGCACUGAUGGGACCCCAUCCAGGAGCUGUACUGAUGGACGUCACCUGUUCUGUAGAGGACAAUGAUCAUCAGGAAGCUCCUUUCAGUGCUCCUGAAGUCCCCCCCACUGCUGAGGACCAGCAAAUGGAGGACGUCCUGCCUCAAGAUCAGGACAGUCCAGUCAGUCCGUCAGCAGAUGACAGUCCAUCACAUCUGCUGAGACAUCUGGACUGUGACAAGAUCACGAGGAACGAGGCCUGACCAUCCCAGUCGUUCCAGCAGAGGUGGCUUUGAAGAAGAGGCGACCUCUUUACUGAGGGGUUGGUGCACCAUUUCAUGCAACAGGACAUUAAAGCUGGUGUCGUUCGCUGUUCCGGGGGGAGUCUUCCAUCGGGACAUCAAGAUGUGCAACCUUCUGAUCAACACAUAGGCCAUGGAGGUCAAACUGAUUGAUUUCAGUGUUGGGGACCUCCUAAAAAGCUCACCCUACAUUUUCUUUAGUGCUCAUGUAGGUCAUGAGCUGGUUCAAAAGUUCCAAGAUGCCCUUCCCUGGUCCAUGAGGUCUCUUGACCUCCUCUCCAAAGAUUCCUGCCACAGGCAUCCAGGGGCCAAAGAUUCUGUCAGGGCUGCUUCAGAAAUCAAUGUGAAUGUCAUCCUAAAUGCUACUGGUCCAGGACCUGCUGAGCUCAGUGAGGUCAGAGUCACACGCACCACAGACGUCACUGCACAAGCUACCUUUUCAGAGCUCCUGUCUCCAGAUUUUCUUGUCCUGGCCUGAAGGUCAAGGCUGCUACAAUGUUUGUGGUCGUAGCCUCAGCCAGAUCUAGUGUUCAAGGCUGCUUCAGUUCCAGAGCUCCUCUCUAAACCUCCCUGGUCCCAGAGGUUCCUGUUAAAGCCGCUCUGAUCCAAGAGGAUUCUGUCAAAGCUGCAUCAGAAGAUCCUCUCACGGCGCCAGUGUUUCCAGCUACUAGUGUGAUUCAUUCAUAAAUGUUAUUUUGGUGUGUCACAUUAAACACACUUAGUAACUGUGAAAAUACACAAUUUUUUUUUGUUUUAAGAGGAAUAUGUGAUAAUCUGGAAAUAUGAGCCAUUUCUUCAGUUCUAAGCCUUUCUUUUUACCGUUUUACCAGUUCAGUCAAUGGUUAACAGACUUGGCAUUUAAAAAAAAAUACAAUCACCAAAAAAAACAUUUAAAUGUAAAAUGUUUUUAAAAAUGGAAGUUGCUA